UACCUGGUUGAUCCUGCCAGUAGUCAUAUGCUUGUCUCAAAGAUUAAGCCAUGCAAGUCUAAGUACGAGCUCUCGUACAGUGAAACUGCGAAUGGCUCAUUAAAUCAGUUAUGGUUCAUUUGAUCGUACAGUUUACUUGGAUAACUGUGGUAAUUCUAGAGCUAAUACAUGCGAGAAGCGCCGACCUCGCGGGAGGCGUGCAUUUAUCAGACCAAAAACCGGCCGCGUCUUCGGGCGCGUUCGCCUUGGUGACUCUGGAUAACUUUGCGGAUCGCACGGUCUAGCACCGGCGACGGAUCAUUCAAGUGUCUGCCCUAUCAACUUUCGUCGGUACGGUAUUUGCCUACCGAGGUUCUUACGGGUGACGGGGAAUCAGGGUUCGAUUCCGGAGAGGGAGCCUGAGAAACGGCUACCACAUCCAAGGAAGGCAGCAGGCGCGCAAAUUACCCAUUCCCGACGCGGGGAGGUAGUGACGAAAAAUAACAAUGCAGGACUCGUUCGAGGCCCUGUAAUUGGAAUGAGUACACUUUAAAAGCUUUAACGAGUACUCAUUGGAGGGCAAGUCUGGU
rnacentral:ncRNA from 1 species